rnacentral:rRNA from 1 species
AACGGUAACAGGAAGCAGCUUGCUGCUUUGCUGACGAGUGGCGGACGGGUGAGUAAUGUCUGGGAAACUGCCUGAUGGAGGGGGAUAACUACUGGAAACGGUGGCUAAUACCGCAUAACGUCGCAAGACCAAAGAGGGGGACCUUCGGGCCUCUUGCCAUCAGAUGUGCCCAGAUGGGAUUAGCUUGUUGGUGAGGUAACGGCUCACCAAGGCGACGAUCCCUAGCUGGUCUGAGAGGAUGACCAGCCACACUGGAACUGAGACACGGUCCAGACUCCUACGGGAGGCAGCAGUGGGGAAUAUUGCACAAUGGGCGCAAGCCUGAUGCAGCCAUGCCGCGUGUAUGAAGAAGGCCUUCGGGUUGUAAAGUACUUUCAGCGGGGAGGAAGGUGUUGUGGUUAAUAACCGCAGCAAUUGACGUUACCCGCAGAAGAAGCACCGGCUAACUCCGUGCCAGCAGCCGCGGUAAUACGGAGGGUGCAAGCGUUAAUCGGAAUUACUGGGCGUAAAGCGCACGCAGGCGGUCUGUCAAGUCGGAUGUGAAAUCCCCGGGCUCAACCUGGGAACUGCAUUCGAAACUGGCAGGCUUGAGUCUUGUAGAGGGGGGUAGAAUUCCAGGUGUAGCGGUGAAAUGCGUAGAGAUCUGGAGGAAUACCGGUGGCGAAGGCGGCCCCCUGGACAAAGACUGACGCUCAGGUGCGAAAGCGUGGGGAGCAAACAGGAUUAGAUACCCUGGUAGUCCACGCCGUAAACGAUGUCUACUUGGAGGUUGUGCCCUUGAGGCGUGGCUUCCGGAGCUAACGCGUUAAGUAGACCGCCUGGGGAGUACGGCCGCAAGGUUAAAACUCAAAUGAAUUGACGGGGGCCCGCACAAGCGGUGGAGCAUGUGGUUUAAUUCGAUGCAACGCGAAGAACCUUACCUGGUCUUGACAUCCACAGAACUUUCCAGAGAUGGAUUGGUGCCUUCGGGAACUGUGAGACAGGUGCUGCAUGGCUGUCGUCAGCUCGUGUUGUGAAAUGUUGGGUUAAGUCCCGCAACGAGCGCAACCCUUAUCCUUUGUUGCCAGCGAUUCGGUCGGGAACUCAAAGGAGACUGCCAGUGAUAAACUGGAGGAAGGUGGGGAUGACGUCAAGUCAUCAUGGCCCUUACGACCAGGGCUACACACGUGCUACAAUGGCGCAUACAAAGAGAAGCGACCUCGCGAGAGCAAGCGGACCUCAUAAAGUGCGUCGUAGUCCGGAUUGGAGUCUGCAACUCGACUCCAUGAAGUCGGAAUCGCUAGUAAUCGUGGAUCAGAAUGCCACGGUGAAUACGUUCCCGGGCCUUGUACACACCGCCCGUCACACCAUGGGAGUGGGUUGCAAAAGAAGUAGGUAGCUUAACCUUCGGGAGGGCGCUUACCACUUUGUGAUUCAUGACUGGGGUGAAGUCGUAACAAGGUAACCGUAGGGGAACCUGCGGUUGGAUCACCUCCUUACCUGAAAGAAGC